GACGAACGCUGGCGGCGUGCUUAACACAUGCAAGUCGAACGGGAAGGCCCUGGUGUUGGGGGGGGCUCGAGUGGCGAACGGGUGAGUAACACGUGAGUAACCGGCCCUUGACUUUGGGAUAACUUCAGGAAACUGGGGCUAAUACCGGAUAGGAGCUCCUGCUGCAUGGUGGGGGUUGGAAAGUUUCGGCGGGUGGGGAUGGACUCGCGGCUUAUCAGCUUGUUGGUGGGGUAGUGGGUUACCAAGGAUUUGACGGGUAGCGGGCCUGAGAGGGUGACCGGCCACCUUGGGGCGGAGAUAAGGCCCCGCAUACUCCGGGGGGCAGCAGUGGGGAAUAUUGCACCAUGGGCGGCAGCCUGAUGCAGCAACGCCGCGUGCGGGAUGACGGCCUUCGGGUUGUAAACCGCUUUCGCCUGUGACGAAGAGUGAGUGACGGUAAUGGGUAAAGAAGCACCGGCUAACUACGUG
rnacentral:rRNA from 1 species